GUAAUGUGAUAUACAUCUUUUGACAUUUAGGAUACCAGGCCAGAGGUAGCAUGGGUUAUUCACAAGGUCAGGAAAUCGAGACCAUCUGGGCUAACACGGUGAAACCCCGUCUCUACUAAAAAUACAAAAAAUUAGCCAGGCAUGGUGGCGGGCACCUGUAGUCCCAGCUAUUCGGGAGGCUGAGGCAGGAGAAUGGCUGAAUCCGGGAGGCAGAGCACCCGCUUCAGCCUCUCAAAGUCCUGGGAUUACAGGCAUGAGCCACCAGGCUUGGCCUAUCAUUAAUUUUUUUUAGAGAUGGGGCUUUUCUGUGUUGCCCAGGCUGGUCCC
rnacentral:lncRNA from 1 species